rnacentral:rRNA from 1 species
CCUGCCCAAGAGAUCGGGAUAACACCUGGAAACAGAUGCUAAUACCGGAUAACAACAGAUGAUGCCUAUCAACUGUUUAAAAGAUGGUUCUGCUAUCACUCUUGGAUGGACCUGCGGUGCAUUAGCUAGUUGGUAGGGUAACGGCCUACCAAGGCGAUGAUGCAUAGCCGAGUUGAGAGACUGAUCGGCCACAUUGGGACUGAGACACGGACCCAAACUCCUACGGGAGGCAGCAGCU